rnacentral:rRNA from 1 species
UACGGAGGGUGCAAGCGUUAUCCGGAUUCACUGGGUUUAAAGGGUGCGUAGGCGGGUUGGUAAGUCCGUGGUGAAAUCCCCAAGCUUAACUUGGGAACUGCCGUGGAUACUAUCAAUCUUGAAUAUCGUGGAGGUAAGCGGAAUAUGUCAUGUAGCGGUGAAAUGCUUAGAUAUGACAUAGAACACCAAUUGCGUAGGCAGCUUACUACACGAUCAUUGACGCCGAGGCACGAAAGCGUGGGGAGCAAACAGG